rnacentral:rRNA from 1 species
UACGUAGGGGGCAAGCGUUGUCCGGAUUUAUUGGGCGUAAAGAGCGUGUAGGCGGUCAGGUAGGUCCGUUGUGAAAACUCGAGGCUCAACCUCGAGACGCCGAUGGAAACCAUCUGACUAGAGUCCGGAAGAGGAGAGUGGAAUUCCGGGUGUAGCGGUGGAAUGCGUAGAGAUCCGGAAGAACACCGGUGGCGAAGGCGGCCCGCUGGGGUGGAGCUGACGCUGAGGCGCGACAGCGUGGGGAGCAAACAGG